CCUUGCAAGAGACACAUUUUGGAAAUAGACGGCACAACACCAAUAAAAUGUCACAAAAAGUCAAUACGGGCUAAAAGUGGAAGUUCGCUAUUUUCCAAAUCCCACCUCCGUUUUUAAUUGCAAGAAACGUCCAUGCCUGAGGAAAAACAACCAAUCAGAGACAGAAGACAUGGCCAGCGAGGUGCCAAUAACAAAAAAAUAAAAAAUAAAUAAAAACAGACAUGCCAGCCUUAUGCAUCCAAUCACGAGUUCUGACUCAGAAUGUUUUGUUUGCCUGUCCCUGUGGCUGCCAGGGAUUCUGCUCCAAAGACAACCACGUGUGAUUUGCCCAUGCUGCUCUCUGAAUUGUGGAUUAUGACAAUAAAUGGGCCGAAGGCGAUGUUCCACAGUGGGGAAGGCCAGGACCACCAGUCGAUGAGGGUACUUGCCCUGGAGCUCGUGGAGCUGACUGAAGUCCUGGCCGGUGGUGCCUCAGAGCGACGCCACAUUCUCUAUCAGCACCACCCGCCCACGGUAUACAUUGAAGUCCACCAAGUCACCAUCCAGUGUGGUGGCCUUCAGGUCGUAGAAGGUCUUGGCGAUGAAUGUCAUCCUUAGCAGAACAGGAGAGCCUUUGCGCUGAAGGGAUGUCUGAGCAUCUGAUAAGACAGGCCAGUGGUUACCUGACUCACUGGAGGCGAUGCGAUCAGAUGACUGAGCGGGAAAACUGAUCCACACCAGAAAUUCAAUACGCUUAUCAAGUGGGUGCAUAAAACUGUGAAAGACUUUUAAAACAUAAUUUUAAGGUUGUUUUUUUCUUGUUUAAGUGAUGCAGGACUACAGUAGUAUGGAAAGUUCAUUUUCAAAAGAGUAUAAAAGACUAAUUAAGAGGCAACCACAUCAGCCAUUAAACAAUUAACAUCUCCAAGAGUCUUUUACCACACGUGAUGGAAAAUGAACUCCCAGUGAAACCCAAACUCACCCUCCUUCUCAAUUCAGUGAUGAAAGGUGGAUUACUUGAUAAACAUUUAUUUCAUUCUUGAAUGUUUUCAAGGCACUUUUUAAAAACAAACAUUAAUUUAAAAUGGCAUCCGUAGAAAGAGCACAUGAGACUUUGAAUAGUCAGUUAAGUGCAAUGCCGGCCACUGUCACGUUAAAUAAGAAGUACAGUGAACCUCUGCAUAUUUGUGAUUUGGCAAUCAGAAAUCCAACUAGUUUCAGAUAUUUUUUUUAACUCAUCCUCUAUUAUCCGCUGUGAAAGGCUGUUUUUGUGCUCAAGCCAAAGCCAUGUUUAAUACAAAAAUAUCGCUACUGUUCCAAGCUUGUGGUAUGCUGGUGACAAGGAACUAUGUUGAACUGAAGGGGAAGAGUUUCAUUUAGUAUGGCCACAGC